UACGAAGGUCCCAAGCGUUAUCCGGAUUUAUUGGGCUUAAAGGGUGCGUAGGCGGCUUAUUAAGUCAGUGGUGAAAGCCCCAAGCUUAACUUGGGAACUGCCAUUGAUACUGAUGAGCUUGAGUAGAUUUGAGGCGGGCGGAAUGUGUCGUGUAGCGGUGAAAUGCUUAGAUAUGACACAGAACACCAAUUGCGUAGGCAGCUCGCUAAACUCUUACUGACGCUGAGGCACGAAAGCAUGGGGAUCAAACAGG
rnacentral:rRNA from 1 species